rnacentral:lncRNA from 1 species
AUGACGUCACCGGCGGCGGCAGGCCCCGCCCCGGCCCCGGGCGGCAGGCCGCAUGACGUCACCGAGGCCCCACCCCUCCGGAGCGAGUUCGGUCCUGGCGUUCAUUUCAUUCCUGUCCUCAUUCCGAACAUUCUUAGCAUCGCUCGCGCCGUGCCGCGCCGCCCGAGCCGAGCCGAGCCUCUGCAGCCGCCGCCGCGGCCCCGCCGCCCGCCGCGGGCGCCCAUCAAGCACUUUGCAGACUCGCUUCCACCCUGCGGGCCAGUCCGCGCGGCGGGGCCCGGGCUCGGGGCGGCCGCGUCCGGGGACAGGCCAUGCAGUGAAUCCCCCCCACCCCGUCCACCUUUGCCCGGAGCCGCGGGCAGGAGCCCAGUUCGUCCAGCCGGCCCCGGGGCAGGAGCGGUGCUAGGCAGGGGUGGGGUGGCCCAGCCCGGGGAUCGGGAAUCGGGGAGGGAGCCGGGCUCCGAGCUGAAGGCGGGGGAAGCGGCGCCGAAGUUUGCCUCGGACUCGCCAGGCGCUGCGGCGGCUCCCUUCGCCGAGGUUUAUUUUCUUGAAAAGGCUCCAGGCUUCGGCUUGGAAAAUCCAACCGCCAAAAUUGAGCCCAGCAGCUGGAGCGGCAGUGAGAGCCCUGCCGAAAACAUGGAAAGGAUGAGUGACUCUGCAGAUAAGCCUAUUGACAAUGAUGCAGAAGGGGUCUGGAGCCCCGACAUUGAGCAGAGCUUUCAGGAAGCCUUGGCUAUCUAUCCACCAUGCGGGAGGAGGAAAAUCAUCUUAUCAGACGAAGGCAAGAUGUAUGGUAGGAAUGAAUUGAUAGCCAGAUACAUCAAACUCAGGACAGGGAAGACGAGGACCAGAAAACAGGUGUCUAGUCACAUUCAGGUUCUUGCCAGAAGGAAAUCUCGUGAUUUUCAUUCCAAGCUAAAGGAUCAGACUGCAAAGGAUAAGGCCCUGCAGCACAUGGCCGCCAUGUCGUCAGCCCAGAUCGUCUCGGCCACUGCCAUUCACAACAAGCUGGGGCUGCCCGGGAUCCCACGCCCCACCUUCCCGGGGGCGCCGGGGUUCUGGCCAGGAAUGAUACAAACAGGGCAGCCUGGAUCUUCACAAGACGUCAAGCCCUUCGUGCAGCAGGCCUACCCCAUCCAGCCAGCAGUCACGGCCCCCAUUCCAGGGUUUGAACCUGCGUCAGCCCCAGCUCCCUCGGUCCCAGCCUGGCAGGGCCGCUCCAUUGGCACAACCAAACUUCGCCUGGUGGAAUUCUCAGCUUUCCUUGAACAGCAGCGAGACCCAGACUCGGCUGAUUUAAACUGCAAUAUUCAAGACGAUGCCGGGGCUUUUUAUGGCGUAACCAGUCAGUAUGAGAGUUCUGAAAAUAUGACAGUCACCUGCUCCACCAAAGUUUGCUCCUUUGGGAAGCAAGUAGUAGAAAAAGUAGAGACGGAAUACGCAAGGUUUGAGAAUGGCCGAUUUGUCUACCGAAUAAACCGCUCCCCAAUGUGUGAAUAUAUGAUCAACUUCAUCCACAAGCUCAAACACUUACCAGAGAAAUAUAUGAUGAACAGUGUUUUGGAAAACUUCACAAUUUUAUUGGUGGUAACAAACAGGGAUACACAAGAAACUCUCCUGUGCAUGGCCUGUGUAUUUGAAGUUUCAAAUAGUGAACAUGGAGCACAGCAUCAUAUUUACAGGCUUGUAAAGGACUAA